rnacentral:rRNA from 1 species
UCUAGAACGCCCUAGAAUAGGGACUCUUUGGACACUCGUGAACAGGUGGUGCAUGGUUGUCGUCAGCUCGUGUCGUGAGAUGUUGGGUUAAGUCCCGCAACGAGCGCAACCCUCGUUCUAUGUUGCCAGCGCGUAAUGGCGGGAACUCAUAGGAGACUGCCGGGGUCAACUCGGAGGAAGGUGGGGAUGACGUCAAAUCAUCAUGCCCCUUAUGUCUUGGGCUUCACGCAUGCUACAAUGGCAGGUACAAAGGGCUGCAAUACCGUAAGGUGGAGCGAAUCCCAAAAAGCCGGUCUCAGUUCGGAUUGAGGUCUGCAACUCGACCUCAUGAAGUCGGAGUCGCUAGUAAUCGCAGAUCAGCAACGCUGCGGUGAAUACGUUCCCGGGCCUUGUACACACCGCCCGUCAAGUCAUGAAAGUCGGUAACACCCGAAGCCGGUGGCCCAACCCUUGUGGAGGGAGCCGUCGAAGGUGGGAUCGGUGAUUAGGACUAAGUCGUAACAAGGUAGCCGUAAAGGCC